AGCUAAUAGAUACCCAGGUAGUCCACGCCCUAAACGAUGUCUACUAGUUGUUGGUGGAGUAAAAUCCAUGAGUAAACGCAGCUAACGCGUGAAGUAGACCGCCUGGGGAGUACGGUCGCAAGAUUAAAACUCAAAGGAAUUGACGGGGGCCCGCACAAGCGGUGGAUUAUGUGGAUUAAUUCGAUGCAACGCGAAAACCUUAACCUGGCCUUGACAUGCCACUAACGAAGCAGAGAUGCAUUAGGUGCCCGUAACGGGAAAGUGGACACAGGUGCUGCACGGCUGUCGUCAGCUCGUGUCGUGAGAUGUUGGGUUAAGUCCCGCAACGAGCGCAACCCUUGCCAUUAAUUGCCAUCAUUUAGUUGGGCACUUUAAUGGGACUGCCGGUGACAAACCGGAGGAAGGUGGGGAUGACGUCAAGUCCUCAUGGCCCUUAUGGCCAGGGCUUCACACGUAAUACAAUGGUCGGUACAGAGAGUUGCCAACCCGCGAGGGGAGCUAAUCUCAGAAAGCCGAUCGUAGUCCGGACUGUUCU
rnacentral:rRNA from 1 species